AGCAACGUCGCAGGCUCCAACACCACGGCGGGAGAGGAUGACUGAGAGAGGGAGAGCAACAGAGUAAGAGAGAGGCAGUUGGAGAGAGAGGGAGGAUGCAUAGACCUCUGCGUAGUGUAACACUGUUUAAUGCGGUCAGAUCAUCUUCUGUUUAGCCUGACAAAUUCAGAUGGAGUCGACUACAAUUGACUGCAAGUUUUAUGAAGUGAAGCAAAAGUGUAAGAAAGAAAUGUUCUCAAGACUGUCCAUGUUUGGUGCUCAAGAAAAAGCCUCCUCCUGCUGCUCACCACUAACUUUGGAGACCUUUAUCUCUCAAUGUCGCUCGACGUUGGGUAUCACCUAUUAUUUUAGAGAAUGUAUUCAUUGACAUGGACCACUAUCUCUGGAAUAAAGGUAAAUAUUGAUAAUAAUGUAUGAAAUGAAUCAACACAGAACUGUUAACUGCUUGCAAAAAGAAUAAGAAAAGAAAUGUAACUAUAUAUUUUCUUUUCAAUGCUCAACAGUGUUUUAAUUUGGAUUGUGAAUUUCUCAGCAGCUUGUGAAUUAAGAUGGAGGAAACUCCAGAUAUAACACAAGGAGAGGCACAUGUUUUGCACGUGUGAACAGUGUGAGAAUAAUGCUUCCUGCUUCACAUGAAUGAAUUUUUGAAAGUUUAAUUAUACCUGAUUAAAAGAC